AGUGAACGCUGGCGGUAGGCCUAACACAUGCAAGUCGAACGGCAGCACAGUAAGAGCUUGCUCUUACGGGUGGCGAGUGGCGGACGGGUGAGGAAUACAUCGGAAUCUACUUUUUCGUGGGGGAUAACGUAGGGAAACUUACGCUAAUACCGCAUACGACCUACGGGUGAAAGCAGGGGAUCUUCGGACCUUGCGCGAUUGAAUGAGCCGAUGUCGGAUUAGCUAGUUGGCGGGGUAAAGGCCCACCAAGGCGACGAUCCGUAGCUGGUCUGAGAGGAUGAUCAGCCACACUGGAACUGAGACACGGUCCAGACUCCUACGGGAGGCAGCAGUGGGGAAUAUCGGACAAUGGGCGCAAGCCUGAUCCAGCCAUACUGCGUGGGUGAAGAAGGCCUUCGGGUUGUAAAGCCCUUUUGUUGGGAAAGAAAAGCAGCAGGUUAAUACCCCGCUGUUCUGACGGUACCCAAAGAAUAAGCACCGGCUAACUUCGUG
rnacentral:rRNA from 1 species